AGUCAAUAGGGUCCGACUGCGUCCUGCGUCCUGGCAAGACACGCCCCGUGUAGAAAUACACGCCCCUCGUGGGAAAUACACGCCCCUCGACUGACCAAUCUCAGCGUGAUGACGUAAUACGUAGGAUUGUGAUUUCCUCUCAGCGUGAUGACGUAAUACGUAGGAUUGUGAUUUCCUACUGAGAUCGGGGAAUAACGUAGGAUUGUGAUUUCCUACUGAGAUCGGGGAGUAAUUUUCCAACGUCAUCGUUAACUCUUCUGUUACGAAGCUGUUCCACUCUAACCAUGUCAGAGUGGCUGGCAGUGAAAUGUGCACAGAAUGUGGUGUAGACUAUCAAGUUGGUAAGAAACAACUGAUAAUACCGUGACAUCAUUUUAUUUAUAAAGACAAAUGAAAAUGGUUUUAGAACUGGUUAUAUAAAUGAUAACAUAAAGAAUCGGCCCCCGGUCCCCCAGUUCAAUUAAAACAAUGGGUAAAAUGUCGCUACUCCCAAGAAGCAAACACUUUCAGCUUUCUCCGGUCAAACAUCUCCACACAGAACAUUUCGUAGUCCUUCUUUGAAUUGAAGAAGAACUGGAACGGUUCAAUCCUGUUUGGGCUUUCUUCCGGGCAACUGCGGUCAACGGAUUUCAGCUCUGCUAAUAAUGCCUGCUGCUCUGCACCUUCCACCCCAAUGACCAUCGGGAGAGAAACGUGGUCGGUGAAGGUCUGCAACUGGCACCAUGCUGCUGCCUCAAUUGUGUCCUUCAGGAAAACAUCAUCUGCCUUGAAGAAAGAAAAAUAAUUUGUGUCUGUACUUGGCAAAAAAAACAAUAAUUGACAUCCUACUCUCGCAAAACCACACAAUGGUAUGCUAACGAAGGCUACUACUGAUGAGUUUUCAAUGAUGAACAAAACUAUUCAACUAUAGUCAUCUGACCUAUUGUAUCUGGCUAUAUAUACAGUACUAACAGUGGAGUUAAAAAGUUAGUGUAAUAUUUUGCUCAUGGGCGGUGUCAUUUAAAUUCUGGCUCUUAAUAUUCACAAAAAUAUUUAUUGGAAUUUACUCUGAAAAUGUCAGGCUGACCAAAGAGUAAUGAAGAGAAACCGAAUUUGCAUUUACUGAUAACUGUGAUGUCAAAUGCAUAUACUUGGCUUUACAGAGGUACAAAGUAAAGUUACUUAAAGGAUACAAGCCUUAGAAUUGUACAUUUUCGCCCCUACUCCACUUGUAUUGUUUACAGACAAUACUUAUGCAUACGAUAGGGAAUUCUUAGUAAGGGAAACAUGACUCAGGCAAUAAGGGUAGGCUACAUUUUUUUAUUAUAGAGAAAGGGAAGGUCAUUACACAAAGCAUUUAAAGUAAAUAAAAAAGUAAAUACAAAAUAUGUGCAAUAACAUUAAGGGAUACAAUUAUUAUUAAAAAUGGGAAACACAAGAGGCAUUGGCAGGUAUAAGUUAACACAAAAAAAAGUACAAAAUUAAGGGGACGGAGAAGAGGGCCCCCAGAAUUGGGACCCAGAGGCAGAGCAGAUGUGUGUGUGUGUGUGUGUGUGUGUGUGUGUGUGUGUGUGUGUGUGUGUGUGUGUGUGUGUGUGUGUGUGUGUGUGUGUGUGUGUGUGUGUGUGUGUGUGUGUGUGUGUGUGUGGCGCAGCCAAACAUCUCGCAGGGGCCCCUUCUACAAUAUUUCGGGUUAGGGUUAUUACAGCAAUAGGUGUAUAUAAGAAACAUAACUUCUUACCUUGGUCAAAACCUUCCGCUUCCGCUUCCGUGUUACCCGGAACACCGGUGCCAGGAGUCCAUUCACCAUCUGGUGUCCUUCUUGGGUGAAAUGACAGAAUCUUUUGCCACAUCUGCAGUAGAAAGAAAGGGAAAGAAAGACAGAAAGAAAGUCAAAGAAAAAAGUUGGCAUUGGGCUUGGCGUGCUGAGGCCUUGAGAUGGAGGUGGCGGGUGCGUGGCUGGCAUUGGGCUCGGCGUGCUGAGGCCUUGAGAUGGAGGUGGUGUCCUCAUGCCAGGGCAGGUCUGCAGGUGCUUUAUGCAUGACGCUUUUUUCCCAGUAAUGGUUGCGCACACACAGUGGUAGUGUGGAGAUCUAGUGUUGGCACAGUUGUGUUGGCACCUAUAGAUUUUGUAGCCUUCCAAAAGGAACAGAAAAGUAAAUUAGAAAAUAUUAACUGUUAGUAUACCUUGUUCACUACAUCACAAGCUAAUUGAUAUGUUAUGAGUUUGAUAAAAGCAUAAAGAACAUAGAGAAUAUAAAACAUUAGUGACAUGCAUUAAACUUUCAAUUACCAUUGUGAGAUAUGGCUGCUUUGUCAUGUGUUUGAAGAUGUGCAACCAUGGCUGGGUAAUCGCACAUUUUUUUACAAACUUGGCACCCGUAAGAAUCGGGUCCCAACCGCACUGGCUGCAUCAGAGAUCCAUGUUGGACAGUUGGAUGGAUCUGAAAAGACAAAAAGUCAUUUCUGCUGCACAAACAAUUCAACCAGAUUUACAGUUUAAGUCAGCUCUUAGGCAUCCAAUGUGUGAUUUAACUAAACCAACCCUAUAGAUAAAUGCAAGUGUAUACAAUGUAAGCGCAGGUGUGACAUAGAUGCUGUAACAUGGCUCACACAAACAGACAGAUCUUCCUCAGGCAUCUUUGAUCUAAUUAAGUCCUUUGCAAGCAGUGUGCAGAUCCUUUCCCGCUCCUACUAGUUAGCGGCUAACCACAGACAUAGCCAUGGGAUGACAACUUCAAAUCGGUAACACGGCGAAAUGAUGAUAAUCAAAUCAAUACAAACCAGUGAGAGUAUAUUGCGACAAAACCAACACGGCAUCAAACGCGGUACUUAACAAUUAAAUAGGUAACAUGAAAAGCAACAACUGUUAAGCUUAAGCAAUAUCAACAUAAAAGAAAAGUUAGCAGAGACAUCCCAAAAACGCAGCCAAUUUGUGGUUGGAUUGACGACACAUUAUUACGCUGUGAGUGUACAUGAAAAUUUAAAGUAGAACUACACCAAGAACAAUGACAGUAUACGAUCUCUGACUGAUAAUGCAGUCCACUUACCAAAUCAAUCGAGGCAAUCAUCUUUCUGCUGUCUGCUGUCGACCAGUUCGUUACAUCUCCGGAGCAGGUUCGACAAGAGAAGAGACGCCGUCGUGAAUCAGACCAAUCAGGGCCGACUACGCCCCCGACCCUACUCUGUAUAGGCGUGUAUUUCACACGAGGGGCGUGUAUUUCCCACGAGGGGCGUGUAUUUCCCACGAGGGGCGUGUAUUUCCCACGAGGGGCGUGUAUUUCUAGGACGCAGGACGCAGUCGGACCCUACUC
ensembl:lncRNA